rnacentral:rRNA from 1 species
GACAGUGGAACUCCAUGUGUAGCGGUGAAAUGCGUAGAUAUAUGGAAGAACACCAGUGGCGAAGGCGGCUGUCUGGUCUGUAACUGACGCUGAGGCUCGAAAGCAUGGGUAGCGAACAGGAUUAGAUACCCUGGUAGUCCAUGCCGUAAACGAUGAGUGCUAAGUGUUGGAGGGUUUCCGCCCUUCAGUGCUGCAGCUAACGCAUUAAGCACUCCGCCUGGGGAGUACGACCGCAAGGUUGAAACUCAAAGGAAUUGACGGGGGCCCGCACAAGCGGUGGAGCAUGUGGUUUAAUUCGAUGCUACGCGAAGAACCUUACCAGGUCUUGACAUCUUCUGCCAACCUAAGAGAUUAGGCGUUCCCUUCGGGGACAGAAUGACAGGUGGUGCAUGGUUGUCGUCAGCUCGUGUCGUGAGAUGUUGGGUUAAGUCCCGCAACGAGCGCAACCCUUAUUGUUAGUUGCCAGCAUUCAGUUGGGCACUCUAGCAAGACUGCCGGUGACAAACCGGAGGAAGGUGGGGAUGACGUCAAAUCAUCAUGCCCCUUAUGACCUGGGCUACACACGUGCUACAAUGGACGGUACAACGAGUCGCGAAACCG